AUGUUUCAGUGUUUUGCAGGUGUUAUAUUUAUCGGUCUUCUUUUGUUGAAGCAAAGAAAAAAUCCGUUCAACAGUGACGUCAUUGCAAAACACACUUUUGAAGAAAAGGACAGUCAGCUACUGGACGGAGCAGAGGAUCAAACCCAGACUCUGAAUGAGGAGCCUUUAUUAUCAUCUGAUAGCUGCCUUUCUUAUGCUAGUUACCCUAAUGAUAGCCUGAUCACCCAGAAUGCAUCUGUUCCCAUGCCAAUGCCUGAAAACAGAGGAGUCAGCACCAGUUCUUUUGUUGAGGAAGACUGGCCAGGAGAUCCGCAGACUAACUCUGCUGCUCUGCGCGGCAUCCUCAAGCACUUGUCCACUUCGAGCUCCACAGACUCCCUGUUCUCUCGCCUGGACCUGCAGAGUCCAGUUAACCUCAAUUCUCCCACUGAGACCUGUAUAGACAGGAAGCAGGUGAGGUUCAGCUCCGUGGUUGGUGCAAACGAAGUGGAGUGGCAAGAUAGGAAGGAGCUGGAAGAGCACAGUUUGCUGGACAUCGACUCCAUCACUCCCUCUGGGACAGAAAACAAUAGUGACCUUGAGAAUAUUGGCACUACCACUGUGGGCACACAAAGGCCUUCGAUCAAUCAGAGUGAAGUGGAUUCACAGGAAGGUGAACUCAAUUGCAAAAAUGAGGCAAACCUCCAAGAGCAAGAAGCUGGUCAACAGGUCCUUGGUGAUGUCUCUGAGCACUGUCAUUCAGAGUUCCUAAGCCCUGCAGUGUCCAGACUGGUUUCUGCUGAGCAGAACUCGGGUAAGCCUGUUCACCUGGAGACAGAGCCUGAAGAUGACCGUCACUCUCGGGCUAAGGCCACCGACUGGCCAAUUGGAUUCAACAUUCAGCCCAAAAAUAUGCCGGAACGAAGAACUGACAUUUCUGCUGAGGACCCCUCAGAUACCAAGCUGUCUACUUGCAGCUCAAGGGGUUCAUCUCAUGCUGUUUCACCAAAGCCUAGACAAAGACUGCUUGGAAUUUUUAGAAGAGAGAAAGAGAAAACUGAAGAAGUGCAGAAUCCACAAAAAGAAGAGGAGACGAUACCUCAGCAGAAAGAACAAGGCAGAACCCAGAAUAUCUCUCAUUGUGCUGUAGAGACUACUGUAGACAAACAAGAAGCUAAACCCUCUGAGAUGGCAGAGGUCAGAACACUACAACAUGAAGCUCUGCAGAACACUCCGUCUAAAGAAACAAUGGCAUCAGUAAGUGCAGACAAUCAACAGGAGGCAAGAGAAGGCAGAGUUGUUCAGCUUCCAGAGAGACUAUACAAUCUGAAAGCUUUCUGGGAGAGAGAAAACAGUGGUCCCAAAAUAAUGUUUACCAGAGAAGAGACAAGGCGCAAAGACGUCCCCAAGGAAGGAUUAGAGACUUCACAUGGUCAUCUGUCUAACUCUGAUGUGGGGAGUAUAGGCAACAAUCUCUCACCUCAAAUGGAAAUGAUAGGUGAGGAUACUGCUGGCUUGUCCCAAGAAAAGAUUUUGUCACCACAGACCGACUGUAGCUUCUCAGUAGAUGUAUCUAAAGAAGAUGGCACAUACAGAGCUAAUCCAGUCCUCAUCUAUGAAGACACAGAUGUCUUUUUAACAGGUUCAAUAAUAGAGUCACAGAUUCCGGAGCCACAGAAAAAUGCCAUCACUCCUGUACCUUUUUAUGUAGCCUUCAACACCCAAAAGCAACAGAGCGAUAUUCCAGUUCCACUUCCCAGGAAAUCUAGUUCCAGUCCUCAAGAAGACAGGCCAGCCAAGAUCAGUGAAGUUAAGCAUUACUUGGAGAAAGAGUAUACAGAACCCAGGGUAAUCGCUACAAGAGUCAAGGAAGCCUCACUCAGUUCCCCACUGUCUUAUCUGACAACAUCCUUAGAUACUAGAGAGAAGUAUGAGGGAGAGUCCCAAACGUGUCCAUACAAAACCAAGUCCAAUGUUGUCUUUAAAUCAUUAAAAGUGAAAGACAAUGGUUUUGCCACUCAGAGUCCAGACAGCUCAGAGCUGAGGAGUUCUGAUAGUACUGGGGAUGUAGAGUCAACAUGUCCCCAAACUCCAAGAUCAAAAGACCAUGAGGACGAGGUAAGAGGUCCAUCCAAGACCUGCCUUCCAAGGGUCCUACCUAGAGAAUCCUCCAGUCCAAAGAGAUCCAAGCUGGAAGGCUCUCCCUUGAAAACUUUUCCAAUAGACAUCAACCCCCAAACUAAGGUUGUUGAAGAACAACAUAGGAAGCCAACACCAAUUCCAAGACAGAAGAAGAGUCCCUCACAUGAAGCAAUGCAGACAGUGUUGACAGACACUAACCCAAGCACAGACAUCACCUCUCGUCCUCUCCCUUUACGUCCAGAGGACAUAGGGCCGCAGUGUUGUAAUGUCAAUACACAACAAAGUAGUCCAAGCUCUUCUACUUCACCACAAUCCAAAAAAGCUUCAGAGAAGAAGUUGGGGACCUUUACAUGCCUUGCCAGAUCUUUCAUCCCUCAGGAUUAUCAGCACUACCUGGGGCCACAGGAGCAGGCCCAUGUCCCUCUGUUUCACACAGAUACCUCUGUUGAAGAGAAGGAUGUGGGACACAUACCACAGAAUGUCCUCAGAGGUUUUGUGGGAAACCAGAGCAACAGUCCCACUGAGGGGAAUCCUCCCAGAAUCAGUUCUUGGAUUGUACAAAAUAAAGAUGGAAACUCGAGCCAAAACACAACGACCAGGGCCUGGUCUCUGUCUCGGCCAAGUUCAGGCAGUUAUGAUGACACUUCUAGUCCCAUCAUUGCAGCCUUUAAACGAUUAUCUUCAAGGAGCAUGUCUUCAUCUAAAAGUCUGGAAAACCUCUCCUCACAAACAAGUGACAGACGUCGUUCUUCUUCACAGUAG
rnacentral:lncRNA from 1 species